UCAUCAUGUUCUUCAUCUUUGCCUUGGCCUUGAUAGGGAGAGUCUUUCAAUGUCAUAUUCUCCAUCUCCUUCUUUGUAGAAACUAUAUCAUCAAGUAAAUCUAUCUUUCUUGAUAGAAGAUUGUUAGACUCAUUAAGGAUGACAUGAAUGGAUGUUUCUACCACUAGAGCUCUUUCAUUGAAAAUUCUAUAAGCCUUACUAGUGGAAGAAUAUCCCAAAAAUGUGGCUUUUCAUUAUAUCUAGCAUUA
rnacentral:lncRNA from 1 species